AGAACGAACGCUGGCGGCAUGCCUAAUACAUGCAAGUCGAACGAACUCUUCGGAGUUAGUGGCGCACGGGUGCGUAACGCGUGGGAAUCUGCCCUUGGGUUCGGAAUAACAGUUGGAAACGACUGCUAAUACCGGAUGAUGACGAAAGUCCAAAGAUUUAUCGCCCAGGGAUGAGCCCGCGUAGGAUUAGCUAGUUGGUGAGGUAAAGGCUCACCAAGGCGACGAUCCUUAGCUGGUCUGAGAGGAUGAUCAGCCACACGUGGGACUGAGACACGGCCCAGACUCCGUACGGGAGGCAGCAGGUAGGGAAUAGUUGGACAAGUGGGA
rnacentral:rRNA from 1 species